GGCCGGGUAGUACAAGGGUCUGCAAAACCCUUAUACAGGGGUUCGAUUCCCCUCCCGGCCU
rnacentral:tRNA from 1 species